rnacentral:rRNA from 1 species
GAUGAACGCUGGCGGCGUGCCUAAUACAUGCAAGUCGAGCGAACAGACGAGGAGCUUGCUCCUCUGACGUUAGCGGCGGACGGGUGAGUAACACGUGGAUAACCUACCUAUAAGACUGGGAUAACUUCGGGAAACCGGAGCUAAUACCGGAUAAUAUAUUGAACCGCAUGGUUCAAUAGUGAAAGACGGGUUUGCUGUCACUUAUAGAUGGAUCCGCGCCGCAUUAGCUAGUUGGUAAGGUAACGGCUUACCAAGGCAACGAUGCGUAGCCGACCUGAGAGGGUGAUCGGCCACACUGGAACUGAGACACGGUCCAGACUACUACGGGAGGCAGCAGUAGGGAAUCUUCCGCAAUGGGCGAAAGCUUGACGGAGCAACGCCGCGUGAGUGAUGAAGGUCUUCGGAUCGUAAAACUCUGUUAUUAGGGAAGAACAAAUGUGUAAGUAACUAUGCACGUCUUGACGGUACCUAAUCAGAAAGCCCCGGCUAACUACGUG